AUUGAACGCUGGCGGCAUGCCUUACACAUGCAAGUCGAACGGCAGCACGGGUGCUUGCACCUGGUGGCGAGUGGCGAACGGGUGAGUAAUACACCGGAACAUGUCCUGUAGUGGGGGAUAGCCCGGCGAAAGCCGGAUUAAUACCGCAUACGAUCUACGGAUGAAAGCGGGGGACCUUCGGGCCUCGCGCUAUAGGGUUGGCCGAUAGCUGAUUAGCUAGUUGGUGGGGUAAAGGCCUACCAAGGCGACGAUCAGUAGCUGGUCUGAGAGGACGACCAGCCACACUGGGACUGAGACACGGCCCAGACUCCUACGGGAGGCAGCAGUGGGGAAUUUUGGACAAUGGGCGAAAGCCUGAUCCAGCAAUGCCGCGUGUGUGAAGAAGGCCUUCGGGUUGUAAAGCACUUUUGUCCGGAAAGAAAUCCUUGGCUCUAAUACAGUCGGGGGAUGACGGUACCGGAAGAAUAAGCACCGGCUAACUACGUG
rnacentral:rRNA from 1 species